UGGGUAAAAUUUACUAGACUGAUUCUCAAAAUUUUUUUAUCAUUACCACAUAUUUAAGCAGAAAUACCUUAUGUGAUAUAAAAUUCAACAUCAAUCCUUCGCUUUUAGUUGAGUAUGGGUUUGUCUGCAAUCUCUAAAGUCCAUUCAUUUUUUAUUAUGGGUUUCCUUUUUAUGUAUGUCUUUCUGAUGGGUUGUAUAUUGUUGACUAUUGUGAUUUGUAUGUGGGUUUCCAAGCCAAGCCGACUACAUGGUUUUCCCUUUUAAUUACCGAAUUAUUCAGAAUGAGAAUGUCAAAUGUUGAGAUUUGCUAUAUUGUUGAUUUCAUCUGGAUGUUAGAGUUUAUUUAUUAUUUAUAUAUCUGUGACUAUCGUUGUAUUGAGAAAUGAUGUAUCAAAUUCAACUCCUUUUCAGUUUGGUUCUCAUAAUUUUAGAUUUUUAUUUUUCAGUUUACAGUUCAACCGAUUGUUACGCCUGCCAAGCCAACAAUUUAACACGAUGUGAGAUGGCUGGAUUUUGCAACUGGGUGGCUUAAAUCCUACCGUGAAAAAUCUUGCUAAGAUUAUACUCUUUUGCAUCUAACACCAGCUUAACUAGAAGUUCUUUGAGAAAAUGUCUCUGAGAUAUCGACAUUUGAGACAAAUUUCAGUCUCCUUGUCUCGAAUUUUCCUAGGUAAUCAUUUAUAGCAAUCUAGAGAAGCCAUAAACUUGUGUUCGUCUUCCUUUUUAGGCCCAGUGCACCAUUCAGGCAAUUAUAGAAUCAGUGACUCGAGGAUUUUGGAUAAAGAGGUUCAUUCUCAGCGUUACUCUCAGGUACCCAACAAUAUCCAAGUGACAGAUGAGUCUACUCCUCUCCUUGUUGAUGAUAUAUUAUCCUUCAUCCAGUCCACUUUUAGUGAGCUUGAAGGUUGAAACCAAAACUAGUGUCUAUCU